UAUUGCGGAUUUACAUUGGCUUAUAUCAAUUAACAUUUCAUUUGGUCGUAUUCAAAACGUGUUCUGAAUGUGCGUAAAAAUGUGCCCAACAUUCUAUGAAUGCGAUACCAAAUAGUCCAUAAUAUUGUAAGAAAACUCGACUUAAAUCCUUCAGGUGUUCAGCACCAUAAUACAAGUUCUUAAGCCUAAGUGGUUCCAUGAACAUAAAACAUUUCACCAGUAAAGAGACCGACACACUGACGACAGCAAGUAUGUUUUUUUAUGGGGAAACUGGUGUCAGAGUAAAGGUAAUGUGCCCUCACAGUGCGCGUCAGGGGGCGUUUACGCCGGUACCUGAAAUGUUGACUUGUCGGAGUCUACGAAACUCCCAUUCACUCCCAUUCAGAUUAAGAUGGAGGGGGUCACUUUGUUAGUCGAAGGAGAAAACAAGUCUUUAACUGUAAGCUCGCCGCAAGCUACAACAUGAGGCAUUGGAGGCACAGGCCGUGGGAAUAACGCCACUUGCGCGGAAAAGCCCCAGUUGUUUCUGGCCAUUGAGGACGCCUGGUGGUCAACAAUGAUACUAUCAUAAUGUGCAGAUAUAAUGCUGUUUUUUUGGUCAAGAAGUGGAUCAUAAAUGGCGAGGCAUCACAUUGAAGAAGAAAUGCUCACAACACAUCAGAAAACAACUUUGGAGUAGGCCUAUUUUAAAUUACAUUAUGGGCACAAAGACACAUUCAACUCCAUCGUUCAUAGAAUCAGAUGGAGGAUUCAUCAUAAAACAAUUUGAUGUUCCCAAUUAUUUGAAUGAUUCCUUCACUGGCAAAGUGGACAACUUUAUGCAGGAAAUGCCAACCGUGAACAAUGAGCCAUCAUGUACAUGCAACAAAAUAAAAAUAAAAUAAAACCAUUUGAAUUUUGUAACGUUAGUGUGGGGGAGAUGGAAAAAUUAUGAUAAUGACAAACCUCCGGACAUUGACAACUUAGGUGAGAUACCUAAGUUAGAUUUCAGUGCAGCCUUUGAUAUUAUUGACCAUAACCUUUUGUUGAGAAACCUUGUGUUAUGGCUUUUCAAACUCCAUAUUGUGGAUGAAGCGCUAUCUAAUUGAACUCAAAGGGUUUUCAUGAAUGGAAGCUUCUCUAAUGUCAGACAUGUUUAAAGUGUGGUGUACUGCAGGGCAGCACUCUACUCUUUUCUACGUUUACCAAUGACCUGCCACUGGCAUGAAA